rnacentral:rRNA from 1 species
AACCGCUCAGAGGUAAACGGGUGGAGUUGAACUGCAAUCCAUGGGGAUUCAGCUGAUGAGUAUGAUAUGCGUUUGGGCAUCUGAGCCUGCUAACCAAGACYGCGUGAUAGUGGGUCYYYGCUCUAUGRGUGGGGAUGUGCGCUGCGCUUGUCAAGUGCUGCACGCUUGGGUAGUGAAGGGUUUGCUUGUCAGUGCACUUUCUCAUGGUGUUCACCACGACCGGCGCUGCUGUCUGUCUGCUGUGGCCAAACCGGUUAGGUCUGAUCAUUUGGUCAGGUUUGAUCGGGAUGGCAGGUAGCUUUUCGGCUCUUGUUGGUUUCGGCUGGCUUGGGUCGUUGAGUGUAAUCAGCUGGCUAUAGUAGAUCAGUGCAGUGCGUCGGAGCUGGCGGCUUUGGUGUGUGCAURUGUGCUAUGGCUUACUGCCGGGGUCGGGUCUGGCUGGCAAUUUCCUGCUUUUGUGGGUUGUCAGUGUCUCGGUCUCGUUUGGUURGCGGUGGCAUGUGUGACACUUGCUUGGGCCAAUAGUCCGUGGUGUAGUGGUAGACGAUCCACCCGACCCGUCUUGAAACACGGACCAAGGAGUUUAACAUGUGCGCGAGUCAAUGGGCGUUACGAAACCCAAAGGCGCAGUGAAGGUAAAGGUUCGGCUUGUYCGGACUGAGGUGAGAUCCUGUUGUUUCCUCUGUCUUGGGCUACCAAGCUUUCGAGCAGCAGGCGCAUCACCGGCCCGUCCCAUGACGUAGUCGUGUAAGUAGCUU